rnacentral:rRNA from 1 species
AUUGAACGCUGGCGGCAUGCCUUACACAUGCAAGUCGAACGGUAACAGGUCUUCGGAUGCUGACGAGUGGCGAACGGGUGAGUAAUACAUCGGAACGUGCCUAGUAGUGGGGGAUAACUACUCGAAAGAGUGGCUAAUACCGCAUGAGAUCUACGGAUGAAAGCAGGGAAUCGCAAGACCUUGUGCUACUAGAGCGGCCGAUGGCAGAUUAGGUAGUUGGUGGGAUAAAAGCUUACCAAGCCGACGGUCUGUAGUUGGUCUGAGCGGACGAUCAGCCACACUGGGACUGAGACACGGCCCAGACUCCUACGGGAGGCAGCAGUGGGGAAUUUUGGACAAUGGGCGAAAGCCUGAUCCAGCAAUGCCGCGUGCAGGAUGAAGGCCUUCGGGUUGUAAACUGCUUUUGUACGGAACGAAAAGCCCCGGGUUAAUACCCUGGGGUCAUGACGGUACCGUAAGAAUAAGCACCGGCUAACUACGUGCCAGCCGCCGCAGUAA